UACGAAGGGGGCUAGCGUUGCUCGGAAUCACUGGGCGUAAAGCGCACGUAGGCGGGUCGUUAAGUCAGGGGUGAAAUCCUGGAGCUCAACUCCAGAACUGCCUUUGAUACUGAGAAGCUUGAGUCCGGGAGAGGUGAGUGGAACUGCGAGUGUAGAGGUGAAAUUCGUAGAUAUUCGCAAGAACACCAGUGGCGAAGGCGGCUCACUGGCCCGGUACUGACGCUGAGGUGCGAAAGCGUGGGGAGCAAACAGG
rnacentral:rRNA from 1 species